ACAGCAGCCGCGGUAAUACGUAGGGGGCGAGCGUUGUCCGAAUUCACUGGGCGUAAAGCGCGCGUAGGCGGACUUUUAAGUUGGGGGUGAAAUCCCGGAGCUCAACUCCGGAACUGCCUUCAAAACUGGGAGUCUUGAGGUAUGGAGAGGGAAGUGGAAUUCCAGGUGUAGCGGUGAAAUGCGUAGAUAUCUGGAGGAACACCCGUGGCGAAGGCGGCUUCCUGGCCAUAUCCUGACGCUGAGGUGCGAAAGCUAGGGGAGCGAACGGGAUUAGAUACCCCGGUAGUCCUAGCCGUAAACGAUGGAUACUAGGUGUUAGAGGUAUCGACCCCUCUAGUGCCGCAGCUAACGCAUUAAGUAUCCCGCCUGGGGAGUACGGCCGCAAGGCUGAAACUUAAAGGAAUUGACGGGGGCCCGCACAAGG
rnacentral:rRNA from 1 species